AUUGAACGCUGGCGGCAGGCCUAACACAUGCAAGUCGAACGAGUGGCGGACGGGUGGGUAAUGUCUGGGAAACUGCCUGAUGGAGGGGGAUAACUACUGGAAAAGGUAGCUAAUACCGCAUACCAUCGGAUGUGCCCAGAUGGGAUGAGCUAGUCGGUGGGGUAAAGGCGCACCUAGGCGACGAUACCUAGCUGAGCUGCUAGGAUGACCGUCCACACUGGAACUGAGACACGGUCAAGACUCCGACGGGAGGCAGCAGUGGGGAAGAUUGGACAAUGGGCGAAAGCCUGAUGCAGCCAUGCCGGGUGUAUGAAGAGGGCCUUCGGGUUGUAAAAUCCUUUCAGCGGGGAGGCGUUACCCGAAGAAGAAGCACCGGCUAACUCCGUGCCAGCCGCCGCGGUAAUAG
rnacentral:rRNA from 1 species